rnacentral:rRNA from 1 species
UGAGGAAUAUUGGGCAAUGCCCGAAAGGGUGACCCAGCAACGCCGCGUGGAGGAUGAAGGUCGUAAGAUUGUAAACUCCUGUUAGAGGGGAAGAAUAACUAAGUUUGGAGCUUAGUAUGACUGUACCCUCAGAGAAAGCCCCGGCUAACUACGUGCCAGCAGCCGCGGUAAUACGUAGGGGGCAAGCGUUGUCCGGAUUUACUGGGUGUAAAGGGCGCGCAGGCGGAAUGGAAAGUCAGUGGUGAAAUCCUACAGCUUAACUGUAGAACUGCCUUUGAUACUUUCAUUCUUGAGUUCGGGAGAGAGAGACGGAAUUCCAGGUGUAGUGGUGAAAUACGUAGAUAUCUGGAAGAACACCUGUUGCAAAGGCGGUCUCUUGGUCCGAUACUGACGCUGAGGCGCGAAAGCGUGGGGA